rnacentral:ncRNA from 27 species
UUGACCUCGGAUCAGGUAGGAAUACCC